CCAGCUCUAAUAGCGUAUAUUAAAGUUGUUGCAGUUAAAAAGCUCGUAGUUGGAUUUUGAGGUCGAUCGGGCGGGCGGCGCAAGUCGCACUGUUUGGUCGGCUUCUUUCUUCCGUGUGACCAGCGGCAUUCACUUGUCGUUGUAAUUGCGCGGAUCGUUUACUGUGAAAAAAUUAGAGUGUUCAAGGCAGGCGUUUGCUUGAAUACAUUAGCAUGGAAUAAUGGAAUAGGACUUCGGACCUAUUUUGUUGGUUUCUAGGACCGUCGUAAUGAUUAAUAGGGACAGUUGGGGCCGUUCAUAUUCCGUAGUCAGAGGUGAAAUUCUUGGAUUUACGGAAGAUGAACUACUGCGAAAGCAUUCGGCAAGGAUGUUUUCG
rnacentral:rRNA from 1 species